rnacentral:lncRNA from 1 species
AAAAAGCGACCACGAGUAGAGAGUCCUGUAUCAGAGCAAGACCUUCACCUCUGUGAAACUCAGCUUCCGGCUGACACCUGGUCCAGUCUGCAGAACACCAUGGUUCCAUAGGUUGAGACUGCCCUCACUGCCCAGAGAAUUUCACAUUUGGAAGGAACAAUUUAGAUGUGGAGGUGGUCACUCCACUAAUGUUCUGAGACUCUUCAAAUCACAGGUGAGAAGAGAAGAGAUUCUUGAAUUUUGGCCACUGGAAGCUGGUAUUUCACAGCAUUUUGAUUGCCCAGCCUUAGCUUGGCAAAGUUGGACUGACUUGCUUCAGGACGUCCAGGAAGGUACUCUGACCUGAAUAAGAGACACACCAUAGGAGCAUCCCACAAGGGCUUUGAAGGUCUUUUUAGGAAGCAUCUCCAAGAGGAUGAGGUGCAACGUCAUAAAAAGCAGUGUGCUGGAUAUCUUGGUAAAAAGGACAAAGUAUAUGUCAGGCCAGGCUCAAGUUUGAAACUCCUUGAAUCAGUUCUGAAGGGACCACUCUAUCCCUGGCCAUAAUUCUUAACCAGUCAAACAUAUUAGCUUACUAAAUCCUGAUAAAAACCGUAAGCCUCGUAGAGGUUAGGUGACUCUCUGAGGUUACACAGCCAGUAGGUGGCAGAUCUGGGGUUGAAACAGAAGGCUCCUGAAACCAAAUUUUGUGCCUGUUCCAUCAAAAGAAAUUGUUAAAAGGCAAGCCAAGGCUUAAAACCUAGCUUGUCCCUAAGGAUACACCUUCCCUACUCAUGGGAGGCCUGGUUGGGUACAGUCCUAUUUGGGCGGGGUCAGGUUUUGGGUAAAGGUUGGAUGGAGUGGUUCCCGUGUGUUUUUGCUUGCGAACUGUGUGUCCUCCCAGUUGUUCCUGGGUCUGGAUGGGACCUGAUAGCAAGUUGACCACAUUUAACUGGAGUGAUGCCAUAGAGAUCCAAAAGUAAACAAUAAAGGAAAAAAGCCAUAACUUGUUUAAGAUUCUUAGAGUUUUCUGUUACUGUCACAUACAUUGCUCCCUUUGAUUGUCACUGCAACCCUGUGAUGUGGGAAUUAAUUCGGGGCCCAUUUGAUGAAUGAGGUAGCUGGUCCCAAGGAAGGAAAGUUCCUACAUAUUAUAUUCCUGCUCUGGGUUCUUCCAUAGGGAAAUUUUAGGACUUUGAG